AACCUCCGCAAUGUGAGAAAUCGCGACGGGGGGAUCCCAAGUGCCAUUCUUAACGGGAUGGCUUUUCAUUAGUGUAAAGAGCUUUUGGAAUAAGGGCUGGGCAAGACCGGUGCCAGCCGCCGCGGUAACACCGGCAGCUCUAGUGGUAGCAGUUUUUAUUGGGCCUAAAGCGUCCGUAGCCGGUUUAAUAAGUCUCUGGUGAAAUCCUGUAGCUUAACUGUGGGAAUUGCUGGAGAUACCAUUAGACUUGAGACCGGGAGAGGUUAGAGGUACUCCCAGGGUAGAGGUGAAAUUCUGUAAUCCUGGGAGGACCGCCUGUUGCGAAGGCGUCUAACUGGAACGGUUCUGACGGUGAGGGACGAAAGUUAGGGGCGCGAACCGGAUUAGAUACCCGGGUAGUCCUAACUGUAAACGAUGCGGACUUGGUGUUGGGGUGGCUUUGAGCUGCUCCAGUGCCGAAGGGAAGCUGUUAAGUCCGCCGCCUGGGAAGUACGGUCGCAAGACUGAAACUUAAAGGAAUU
rnacentral:rRNA from 1 species